CCGGGUGCGGCUGGGGGGGCCCCGGGGCUGGGCGGGGCCGGGGGGCGGGGCCCUGAGCUGCGAGCACCUGGAGGUGACGUACGAGGCCGAGGACAUGGGGACCCUGCCCUGCCUGCGCGUGGAGCCGGGGCCCGGCCCGGGGGGCGCCCGCAGCGUCCCCACGCUCGAGGUCACCGUGGCCGAGACCCC